rnacentral:rRNA from 1 species
UACGGGGGGGGUAAGCGUUGUUCGGAAUUACUGGGCGUAAAGGGCUCGUAGGCGGCCAACUAAGUCAGACGUGAAAUCCCUCAGCUUAACUGGGGAACUGCGUCUGAUACUGGAUGGCUUGGAUUCGGGAGAGGAAUGCGGAAUUCCAGGUGUAGCGGUGAAAUGCGUAGAUAUCAGGAGGAAUACCGAUGGCGAAGGCAGGUCUCUGGGCUGACACUGACGCUCAUGCACGAAAGCGUGGGGAGCAAACAGG